rnacentral:rRNA from 1 species
UACGUAGGGUGCAAGCGUGUCCGGAAUUAUUGGGCGUAAAGAGCUCGUAGGCGGUUUGUCGCGUCUGCUGUGAAAACGCGAGGCUCAACCUCGCGCCCUGCAGUGGGUACGGGCAGACUAGAGUGCGGUAGGGGAGAUUGGAAUUCCUGGUGUAGCGGUGGAAUGCGCAGAUAUCAGGAGGAACACCGAUGGCGAAGGCAGAUCUCUGGGCCGUAACUGACGCUGAGGAGCGAAAGCGUGGGGAGCGAACAGG